AAGGGGCAAAGAAACGUUUCCUUCCCUCAAAGGCCAAUGGAAAAAUGUCGAGUUGCCCCAGCAGUCCAGCCCUGGACCUUCCUCACUGCUAAGGGCCAAUCAGCGCCUCCAGGGCCUUGGUCUCCCUUGAUGACUGACUGCGGGGUAGGACCUCCUGGCCUUAUCUCCGCUCAGCCCUUUGAAGCACUUGACAGCUACUGCUGCUGACACUUCUUAUCCCAAGGGAGGAAGUAGCUCCUGAAGGUUUUGAGACCCAACUCACAGACCAGAUGUUUGAAAGGGUGAAACCUAAUUUUAAUAUAACUUUAAAAAGCAUUUUUGCAUUUAUUUACACAGGUGGAUAUUAUUACUUCCAAUAUGCAGAUGAGUAAACUGAAGAUCGAAGAGAGAUCACAUGUCCAAGGUCUGAGCCCAUGGAUGGAAUCCAAAGUCCACGGGGAUUUAGCAGAGCAAGGUGAUUCAUGCCAACCUCAUGGAGAUGUCUUGAUCCAACAACAGAGGCUUGUCCUGUGUGUUUGUUCCAGGAGCCCCAAGGACAGAUGCUUCUGUGUUCUGACGGCCUAAAGGAGUCCCGCUGGUGAGAAUCUCAAGCUACCUGGCCAGUGCAGCAUGAUUGAUUUUUGAAGCUCCCCAGGUGAUUCCACUAUGCAGCCAAGACUGAGAAUGACUCUACAUAUCUAAGUCACCAUUCAGCUAAAAAAUUCAAUGAGUCUAAAUAAAAUAUUUG